rnacentral:rRNA from 1 species
GUAGAACGCUGAAGAGAGGAGCUUGCUCUUCUUGGAUGAGUUGCGAACGGGUGAGUAACGCGUAGGUAACCUGCCUUGUAGCGGGGGAUAACUAUUGGAAACGAUAGCUAAUACCGCAUAACAAUGGGUGACUCAUGUCAUUUAUUUGAAAGGGGCAAAUGCUCCACUACAAGAUGGACCUGCGUUGUAUUAGCUAGUAGGUGAGGUAACGGCUCACCUAGGCGACGAUACAUAGCCGACCUGAGAGGGUGAUCGACCACACUGGGACUGAGACACGGCCCAGACUCCUACGGGAGGCAGCAGUAGGGAAUCUUCGGCAAUGGGGGCAACCCUGACCGAGCAACGCCGCGUGAGUGAAGAAGGUUUUCGGAUCGUAAAGCUCAGUUGUAAGUCAAGAACGAGUGUGAGAGUGGAAAGUUCACACUGUGACGGUAGCUUACCAGAAAGGGACGGCUAACUACGUGCCAGCAGCCGCGGUAAUACGUAGGUCCCGAGCGUUGUCCGGAUUUAUUGGGCGUAAAGCGAGCGCAGGCGGUUUGAUAAGUCUGAAGUUAAAGGCUGUGGCUCAACCAUAGUUCGCUUUGGAAACUGUCAAACUUGAGUGCAGAAGGGGAGAGUGGAAUUCCAUGUGUAGCGGUGAAAUGCGUAGAUAUAUGGAGGAACACCGGUGGCG